GACGAACGCUGGCGGCGUGCUUAACACAUGCAAGUCGAACGCUGAAGCUCAGCUUUUGUUGGGUGGAUGAGUGGCGAACGGGUGAGUAACACGUGGGUAACCUGCCCCCUUCUUUGGGAUAACGCCCGGAAACGGGUGCUAAUACUGGAUAUUCACUGGUCUUCGCAUGGGGGUUGGUGGAAAGGGUUUUUCUGGUGGGGAUGGGCUCGCGGCCUAUCAGCUUGUUGGUGGGGUGAUGGCCUACCAAGGCUUUGACGGGUAGCCGGCCUGAGAGGGUGACCGGUCACAUUGGGACUGAGAUACGGCCCAGACUCCUACGGGAGGCAGCAGUGGGGAAUAUUGCACAAUGGGCGCAAGCCUGAUGCAGCGACGCCGCGUGAGGGAUGGAGGCCUUCGGGUUGUGAACCUCUUUCGCUCAUGGUCAAGCCGCAACAAUGGUUGUGGUGAGGGUAGUGGGUAAAGAAGCGCCGGCUAACUACGUG
rnacentral:rRNA from 1 species